rnacentral:lncRNA from 1 species
GAAAGAAAGAAAGAAAAGCUUUAGAUAAUGAGUUACAUGACAAACUGUAUCUCCCUCAGACAAGGAGGUCCAUGGAUUUUCUGAUUUUAUUUAUUUAAGAGAGAAAGAGAGAGACAGUGCACAGGCAGGAGGGAGAUCGAGAGCGAGAGAGAAUCUCGAGCAAACUCUGCAGUGGGCACAGAGAGCCUCAUCCCAUGAUCCUGCGAUCAUGACCCCAACCAAAACCAAGAGUGAGACGCUCAACCAGCUGAGCUACCCAGGCGCUCCUGUUUCUGAUUUUGAAAGUAGAAAAUACUCAUUGCAAGAAAUUAAGAAAGCCCAGAAAUACAUAAUGAAAAAAAAAUU